UUUUGUACAUAUAAGGAAGUGGCUGUUGAUGUUAUCUGAACGCGCUUCCUGUUUUAUAUGUAUAUGAGCAAAAAUAAUGUCACGUUAAGCUAAGCUGCAGUUUCGGAGAGCUCAAGCCAAAGCCUCCAAGCAAAACACGGUAAUGGGAGCACAUCUCAUCUGCUCGCUGUCUACCCCAGUUUGCAUCCACUUCGCUGCCUCUCCUCGGCAAUCUGCAUUCUCCCACCGAGAGCUCUCCUCGUGAGCUGGCCACGGAGCUGCACGCUGAGCAUCGCUGCCUCCACGGCUUCUCGGCGGGUUCGGAUCACAAAGGCUCGCCUGAGUUGACAUCUGUACCUCAAAUACUGCACAGGUGAAAAAGGAGCCAGUGCCACGAGAAACUCUGCCUGAAUUUGGGCCAUCCUUAAUUCAAGGGGACUGUUUUUUAACCAGGAAGGAGUCUUCUGAGUGUCUGAUGUACGGCACUCAGUGCAGGAAGUGGCGCUGUAGGAGAGCUGCGUUCCAGAGCUGAUGCUGCAGAGCACAACACCAAAGGAAUCCUUCUAACGGGAAUUUCAUGUCUUUCUGCUUAUUUUAAGGCAGAGCAAAUCAAUGUGCAACUUCAAGCUCGGUUCCAUCCAGAAAUCCUUCUACUCCCGUGGAAGAGAAGAGCAGCAAAGCACACGGAGGCACCUCCGAGGACCGCUGCCAGCGCCACCGCAGCUUACCCCUGUCGCUGCCAGGAGGCACUGCCACUUGCACGCUCCUUCACUUCCACUUUCGCUCGGUGCUGGCUGCAGAACACCCCCCAGAGACAAAAAAACUACAGCUGGGAGCGAGCUGAGGCUGUUUGCACUUUCUACUUUCAUUAUAUUUUUCACAGCAACUUCUGGGAUAUGAAAUGCAAGCUACUUUUAUAGGUAACAGCACAACGAAACUGUGGGUUCUGCUGAAGGAAACCAAAAGAAUCCUUCCAGAGGCAUGCAGUAAGUAAAUGAAGUGCUAAAACUCGAAGAAACUGUUGUUCCCCAUGGAGCUCAUGGCACAGCUCCUUUCUGCCCUGUCUCCAGGAGUGGCAGCUCCCUGCAGCACAGCUGCUCUGCGCCCUGAGAACCUGCAACUGGCACGAGCAGGGGUUCUGCUCGGUGCAAGCUCACUGCCUCUGAAGGAACAAUAACGAGGAGUUGGAGCGUGUGAAUGAUGAAAGAUGCUGUACAAGUAUCAGAAUUUAAAAAUAUUCUGUGCAAAGAUUUUUUUGAACCAUUUCCCGCUGUAGUGCCUUAUUCUAUCUCAUUACGCAGAUUUGGAUCGUUUCAUUUCGGUGCAAAGCUACGUCACGGGCAAGAAUCGGAGCUGGGCAGAUACAGCAGGUGCCUUACGCAGGGACAGAAGACCGACAGCUAUCACACCAAAAUGAAGUAUUGAGACCCAGACCUAGCAAAGUCCCACUUGCUGCACAUUUACGCCCUGGCACUGAUUGAUUUGAAUGUCUGAAACCAAGCGAGCUUCACGAGUUUCUCCCGCAGCUGGGGCAGUCGCAUCGCCCUGCCGGGCACUCUCCCGUGCCUGGGGGAGCACACGGUCCUGCUACAGCUCUCUGCACCCCUGCAGCAGGAGCAGUGCCUCUUCUCUCCACCCAGCCACUGGUUGGAAACGCAGGAACGUGAUUAUCUUUGGAACCCCACGAGCUGACAGCUGGGGCUUAAAAGAGAUCAACCCCACGAGCACAAGCCUUGUUUCCAAGCCCCCAAAAAAAGUGAAUCCAGGUGAAUCUGGGCGCCCCGGUCAGCCAGCUGAGCUGCACGAUGUUCAGCUCACUGCGGCAGAUAAGGGAGCUGCGAUUCUGCCCCUGCCUCCCAUUCCCGAGUCACAGCUUGGAAGGGAAAACACCACUAGAAACCCAGGAGUUGGAAGCUUGGUGCAUUUUCUGUUUUUCUUUUAAAGACAUUUUACCUGAAGAAAUAUCUUUUGCUUUUGACCUUCCUUAAAUGUUUCCAAACCCCCUCGUGAAACACGGGCUGACACAGACCUGUAACGCCUACCAGGGGGCUCACGGCUGAGUUGUCAGAUACAACUUAUUUAGAGAGAACAGCGACGUUUCAUGUCAGUGAUUUAUUCAAAUGCACCACAUGUGCUUCGCUCUCUCGGUUUUAGUGCUUCCAUUUUUAUCUCCAAAGAAAACCGAUGUUAUGGGGGGAAGAGGAAGCAGGAGCGAGCAAGCAGACGUUCCUGCUGCCUGUCCUAAGUUUUCCUGGAUACCAAAAGGAUAAGCUCAGGGGUGAGAAGUGUCCCCAGGGACCCCACAGGGGCUCAGAGCCUCCAAGCGCAUGGGGCCAGCAGGUUCCUGGGGCUCCUCGACGAGGGGCUGCAGUGGACGGCAGCGAGACGAGGAGGAGAAAAGGGAGAAUAACAGAGAAAGGAAACAGGCACUGCAAAACAAAAACUCAAGAAAUCACCAGCAAAGCAAAAAGCACUCAGGGGAAGCCCCUGGUGUGGUUGCUCACUUCCUACGGCUUAUCACUGACACAGCAGCAUGAAAAGUCACCGAAAACGGCAAAUUUGUCAGUGUGGGUGAAUUGGAGCCUGUGCAGAGGAUAACGCGUGGCCACACAACACACGUCCACCAGCACCCACCAGCACGGGUUUCAGGGCAUCAGAUCCUCAUUUUCCUGCAAAACUCCAUAAAAAGAAAAGGUUGUUCAUUCCCUCUCAUAAUGUAAUAGUGAAAUGUAUUUCCACCUUCAGCGUUACUCCGAACGAGUAAGAAAAAACUCAAACCCUUCAAAAGCCUUUUAAAGAGUAAAGAACUUAUUUCUGACUUUGAACGUUCUCUUGUGCAACGCAGGCCAGGAAAUCUUAUUCUUGCAAGAAGUUUCUGACUUCCUGCCAGGAAAUUCUGUGCAUGACUGAGUAGAAAAGGAAAAAGGACAGGAUCAGAUUGAAGGGAAAGCUGUAACAUCAGCAGCUGCAUCAAGAGCUCUGCAGGAACACCCAGAUGGGAGAGGUGCUGCCAGGGAAGGAGAGAACAAAGAAUUUAUGAUAAAUUGAAGCUGCUCUUGUGACAUGAGUUUCACCAGGAGCACAAGCAGUAAAAACAGGCCUCGGGCUACUGUACCGGCCUGUCUGGACAAGGAUUGGCAAAAACCUCAACGUCCUUCACCAGAGACGGCUCCUGAAAGGGAAAAUUACCUUUCCU